GACUCUUCGGAGAGCCUGCACAGGUGCUGCAUGGCUGUCGUCAGCUCGUGCCGUGAGGUGUCCGGUUAAGUCCGGUAACGAGCGCAACCCUCGCCAUAUGUUACAAGUGUCAUAUGGGACUGCCGAUAUAAAGUCGGAGGAAGUGGGAUGACGUCAAGUCAGCAUGGCCUUUAUGUCCGGGGCUACACACACGCUACAAUGGCCGGUACAAUAGGUAGCAAGACCGCGAGGUGGAGCCAAUCCUUAAAGUCGGUCUCAGUUCAGAUUGCAGGCUGCAACUCGCCUGCAUGAAGUCGGAGUUGCUAGUAACCGCGCGUCAGCAAUAGUGCGGUGAAUACGUUCCCGGGCCUU
rnacentral:rRNA from 1 species